UGAUGGUGAUGAUGAUGGGUGGAUAGAGAAGGUUGGAUGAUGAUGAUGAUGGGUGGAUGGAGAAGGUUGGAUGAUGGUGAUGAUGAUGAUGAUGGUGAUGAUGGGUGGAUGGAGAAGGUUGGAUGAUGAUGAUGAUGAUGGGUGGAUGGAGAAGGUUGGAUGAAGGAUGAUGAAGGUUGGAUGAUGGAUGAUGAAGGUGGGAUGGUGAGGAUGAUGAAGAUGAGGGUCUGAUGAUGGUGGUGGUGGGAUGAUGAUGAUGGUGGGAUGAAGAUGGUGGUGGAGAUGGUGGUUGUGGGAUGAAGAUGAUGAAGAUGAUGGUGGGAUGAAGAUGGGGUGAUGGUGGGAUGAUGAUGGUGGUGGGGUGAAGAUGAUGAAGAUGGUGGUGGGAUGGUGAUGAAGAUGAGGGUAGGAUGAAGAUGGUGGUGGUGAUGGUGAUGGCGGGAUGAAGGUGGUGAGGAUGGUGGUGGGAUUGAGGGGGUGAUGAUGAUGAAGAUG
rnacentral:lncRNA from 1 species